CAUUUGGUAGGAGUGGAUCGGAGGGGAUUUGAGCGGAAUUUCCUCGCGUGGCCCGGAAACCUCGCGAAACCACGAGGGCUCAUUUGAUACGCCGGGUUUCGACGGCCCAAUCCCUCAAAUCCCCCUCAGAUCCCUCGUUUCCACGUGGUUCAGAGCCCUCGAGGGGGGACUCGGGGAUUUGGAGGAGACGAGCCUGCCCGCCGCCCGCUCAACGUGCUGCCGCCCGACUCCUCCUCAAGACGCCGCCGCCCGACGCCUCGACGCCGGCGUACCUCCUCCUUCAUACUGGCCUUCGCCCCGACGAGCGAUUGGGGGCGGUCGAUGGCGAACAAGCCUAGGAGGAGGUUUAUCACCAGCAGCUCAUGAAGUACCUUGAUUCCCCGUCUCUCAAUCAUUGAUGUUGGCUCUCACUCCGGUGCCUCACGACAUAGCUGAGAUUUGCCAUGCAAGAUGACUCGUCGAAGAGGAUGUCUUCAUGUCCUGCCAGUUCAGCUCCUUGUUUGCGUGAUGAAUCCCCGCUGGAGCCCCUCUCUUCCAGAUAGCACAUGUGCCAGGAUCCUGGAGUUGACAAAACCAAGUCUAAGAGGAACUUGUUCGAUAACGUCAGCAACCUUCUCACCAAUUUGUUUUUUAGCGGCAACCUCAAGAAUAUGCUGGUUGCCGAAGGAAACGAAGUAAUCGGGUGGUGGUAGCAAGCAGGAGAAGAAACCAUCACAGAUUUGUCGGUUGGAGCCUACACAUUUUUCAAUAUUGUCAAGGUUGAGCUUUCUCUUUCUUUUUCAAAAAGGAAAAAGAAAAAAGCGGUUGAGUUUUCUCUUGAAGCUGCAAAGAAAUGCCACUCUGGGAAUAUGAUACUCUUCACCAG